rnacentral:lncRNA from 1 species
CCGUGAUCUCCCCCUCUGGGCCUCAGGCUCCUUGUCUGUAAACAGGCGGGAUGGGCUGGAGAUGGACGCACAGACCCCAGCACGAGUGCUCACACAGCAGGUGCCCAGCUAAGCGGCACCCCUGGCUCACUCGGGCGUCUCUGGUGCCCCAGGCCUCACGUGGUACCUGAGUGUCCUCAUCGGGGUCUUGGUGACCUUCGUCCUGCUGCUCCUCGUCCUCCUCUUCCUCUUCCUCCGACACCGGGGUCAGGACAGACGCAGGAAGUCAGCAGCCGCAGCAUCAGUGCUUGAGGACAGAGGCAAGCAGAAGAGCUCCAGCCCAGCUGCUGAUGCCCCGGAGGAGAGCUUGUACUGUGCCGUCAUGGAAGAUGCACGGCCAGAGCAUGGCAGAGUGCGGGACAGUCAGGUGAGACCCCCGUCUCCUCACUCACACACGGAGGGCAGAGGACACUGACCCCAAGGCCAGGUGGCCACCCCCCAGGAGCACCUGCUCCUGGGCUGCCGCGCCCCACACCUGGGCUCCUCCGCCCAGCACGCUGCUGAAUGCUCAGGUUGAGCUGGCAGAUUCUGUACUAGUCUGUACUACAUGCAAGCCCUGGGCCUGGACAGGGCCUCGUUGGUUGGGGCAGGGGUGGGGGGGGGGGGGGUGGGGGUUCCAAAUACGGGGGGGUUGUGAGGUUCCUGGGCCAGGGUGGGAGGGGG